GGCUUCCUAAAAUGACUCACCGCCCCAAGCCAGCUCUCCACUGUGCCUCCGAGAGAGAGAGGAGGGGACUCGGAAACCCCCUCACAAUUGGCUUCAGGGGUCUCUGACGCAGAAGAAUUUGAGGUGGUGGAGACCACAGAAGAGCUUGAUGAAGGUGGGCCCCAUUACCAAAGGCAAAGACAAAAAGCAGAGGAGUAAGAAGAGAAGGCGCUUGCUUUGGGACAAGGUUCCUAAGAUGAGUCUGGAGUUCCCGAAAGCCAGGAGGAUUUCUAUGACUGAGAGGGGGUGGGUCUUCAUUGUAGAGGAGGAUUGUGUCAACUGCCUGGAUGAGCUAACAACUUCUGCACCUCUCACUAGCUGUGACCUCAGCCUUGCCUGGAGUUCUUUAUAUGGAAACCAAGAGUUUUGAAGCACAGUCCCAUAGAGAUGUGACGUAAAAAUGUGCUCAUAUACGCAAGUCUUCACUGGAGGCUGGAGAGAUGGCUUUUCAGAUAAAGGACUCAUCCUACAAGCACAAGGAACUGACGUCAGAUCCCCGGUGCUCACGUCAAAAGCAGGGUGCGAUCAGAAAAAUCAUCCACCAUGACCAAGUAGGCUUCAUACCAGAGAUGCAACGAUAGUCCAACACUGAAAAUCUGUCGAUGCAAUCCACCAUAGAAACAAACUGAACAAAAAACCCACAUGGAUAUCUCAUUAGAUGUUGAAAAAACCUCUGACAAAAUACAACACCCCUUCAUGAUAAAGGUAUUGGAGAGAGCAGGGAUACAAGGAACACACCUAAACAUAAUAAAGUCAAUAUACAGCAAACCAAUAGCCAACAUCAAAUUAAAUGGAGAGCAACUCAAAGCAAUCCCACUGAAAUAAGGAACAAGACAAGGUUGUCCACUCUUUCCACACCUAUUUAAUAUAGUACUUGAGUUUCUAGUUAGAGCAAUAAGACAACAAAAGGAGAUCAAGGGGAUAUAAAUCAGAAAAGAAGUCAAUCUCUCACUAUUUGCUGAUGAUAUGAUAGUUUACAUAAGGGACCCCAAAAAUUCUACAAGGAACUCCUAUAACUCAUAAACACCUUCAGUAAUGUAGCAAGAUACAAGAUUAAUUCAAAAAAAUCAAUAGCCCUCCUUUACAGAGAUGGUAAAUGGGCUGAGAAAGAAAUAGAGAAACAUCACUCUUCACAAUAGCCACAAAUAACAUGAAAUAUCUCGGAGUAACUCUAACCAAACAAGUGGAAGACCUAUAUGACAAGAACUUUAAAUCUUUGAAGAAAUAAAUUGGAGAAGACACCAAAAAAAUGGAAAGGUCUCCCAUACUCUUGGGUAGGUAGAAUUAACAUCAUAAAAAUCACAGUCCUACUCAAAGCAAUCUACAGAUUCAAUGCAACGUCCAGCAAAAUCCCAGAAAUAUUCUUUACAGACCUCAAAAGAAAAAUACUCAACUUCAUAUAGAAAAGCAAAAAACCCAGGAUAGUCAAAACAAUUAUGUACAAUAAAGAAACUUCUAGAGGCAUCAAAAUCCCUAACUUCUAACUCUACUACCAAGCUACACUCUGAAAACAGCCUUGUAUUGACAUAAGAACAGACAGGAGGACCAAUGGAACCGAAUCAAAAACCCAGAUAUCAAUCCACACACCUACAAACACCUGAUUUUUGACAAAGAAGCAAAAAAUAUAAAAUGGAAAAAAGAAAGCAUAUUUAACAAAUGGUGCUAGCAUAACUGGACAUCAACCUGUAGAAGAAUGAAAACAGACCCAUAUCUAUCACCAUGCACAAAACUCAAGUCCAUAUGGAUCAAAGACCUCAACAUAAAGACAGCCACACUGAACCUCAUAGAAGAGUAGGUGGGAAGUCCACUUGAAUGCAUUGGCACAGGAGACCACUUUCUAAAUAUAACCCCAGCAGCACAGACACUGAGAGAAAUAAUUAAUAAAUGGGACCUCCUGAAACUGAGAAGCUUCUGUAAAGCAACGGACACAGUCACCAAGACAAAACGGCAGCCUACAGAAUGGGAAAAGAUCUUCACCAACUCCACCUCAGACAGAGGGUUUAUCUCCAAAAUAUAUGAAGAACUCAAGAAAUUGGUCAUCAAAAGAGAAAAUAAUUCAGUAAAAAAAAAUGGGGUACAGACUUAAACAGAGAACUCUCAACAGACAAAUCUAAAAUGGCUGAAAGACACUUAAGGAGAAGCUCAACAUCCUCAGCUAUUAGAGAAAUGCUAAUCAAAACAGCUCUGAGAUUCCCUCUUAAACCUGUAAGAAUGGCCAAGAUCAAAAACACUGAUGACAUCUUAUGCUGGAGAGGAUGUGGGGUAAAGGGAACAAGCCUGCAUUGCUGGUGGGAGUGCAAACUGGUACAGCUGCUUUGGAAAUCGUAUGGUGAUUUCUCAGAAAAUUAGGAAACAACCUACCUCAGGACCCAGCAAUACCACUUUUAGGUACAUGUAAAGGAUACUCAAUUGUGCCACAAGGACA